GGGGUGCUCUACCACUGAGAGAUAUCCUCAUCCCUUUUUACUUUUUUAUUUUGAGAUAGAGCCUGGCUAAGUUGCCCAUGCUGGCCUUGAAAUUGUGAUCCUUCUGCCUCAGUCUCCUGAAUCACUAGGAUUACAUGCAUGUGCCACAGCACCCAGCUGUAUCAGACAUAUUUAAUAAGACAAUCUCAAGUGUCUCAGUCCUCACAUCUCUGUGCUUUUGCCUCACUGCUCUGUGUCUUCCUCCUACCCUUUCCAGGCCCUCCCCUUCAAUUUAUUUUAAUGUGGGAAAAAAACAACUCAAACGCCAGCUCUUCUGAGAUACUUGCCCUGCUUUUUCCAGUCAAAACGAAUUAUUGUUUUGUCUGAGCCCCCAAAAUACUUUGCUUUGACUGUCAAUUUAAUACAUUGUUUGAGUGUUGGUACCCCUGUUUACAUUUUGGGAUUUUUUUUUUUUUUUGUACUGGGGAUUUAACCCAGAUGUUUUACCACUGAGCUACAUCCCCAGCCCUUCUUAUUUAUUUAUUUUCAUUUUGAGACAGGGUUUUACUAAAUUGCCUACGUCCUCACAAUUGCUGGCCUCAAAUUUAUGAUCCUUCUGUCUAGGCCUCCUGAAUUGCUGAGAUUACAAGGCAUGCACCACCAGGCCAGGAACUACCCUUUAGAAACUUGAGGCUAAGGUCCUCAUCUCAGUCCAUGCUGCAUCUCUAGUGCUGAGCAAGAAGUGAAAAAACAAGAUAAAACAAAGGAGAAUGCCUUUAAAUAACUUUUUUUAAAGAUCCAUGGCUUUGGAACUGUAUAAACAGUGCAUCUAUUGAGCAUCUGAAUUUAGGUCCCUCCAACCCCUUUCUUUGCACAGGUUCCCAAUUCUGCCAACUUGAAAGUUUGUAAAUGGCUCAUCUCUGUUUUCAAUUCUUUUUUUUUUU
rnacentral:lncRNA from 1 species